UCCUGGCUCAGGAUGAACGCUAGCGGCAGGCCUAAUACAUGCAAGCCGGACGGCAAGUUGAGUAGCAAUACUUGACCUAGAGUGGCGUAAGGGUGCGUAACACGUAUGCAAUCUGCCCACAGCCGGAGAUAGCCUAGGGAAACCUGGAUUAACCCUUCAUAGUAUUAUUGGAUGGCAUCAUUUGAUAAUUAAAACUGAGGUGGUAUAGGAUGGGCAUGCGUCUGAUUAGUUAGUUGGCGGGGUAAUGGCCCACCAAGACGAUGAUCAGUAGGGGUUCUGAGAGGAAGAUCCCCCACACUGGCACUGAGAUACGGGCCAGACUCCUACGGGAGGCAGCAGUAGGGAAUAUUGGUCAAUGGAUGCAAGUCUGAACCAGCCAUGCCGCGUGCAGGAAGAAGGCCUUCUGGGUUGUAAACUGCUUUUGCCAGGGGAUAAAAUUUCCAUGCGUGGAAAACUGAAGGUACCUGGUGAAUAAGCCACGGCUAACUACGUG
rnacentral:rRNA from 1 species